UGAGCCAACCAGAUCAUUGAAUCCUAG
rnacentral:piRNA from 1 species